UGCGUAGGUGGCAAGCGUUGUCCGGAUUUACUGGGCGUAAAGAGCGCGCAGGCGGUCGGCCAAGUCGAGUGUGAAAGCCCCCGGCUCAACUGGGGAGGGUCAUUCGAUACUGGUCGACUCGAAGGCAGGAGAGGGAAGCGGAAUUCCCGGUGUAGUGGUGAAAUGCGUAGAUAUCGGGAGGAACACCAGUGGCGAAGGCGGCUUCCUGGCCUGUUCUUGACGCUGAGGCGCGAAAGCUAGGGGAGCAAACGGG
rnacentral:rRNA from 1 species